rnacentral:rRNA from 1 species
CUUUUCUGAAUGUGGCUGAUCUUAACUGAUUUUGGAAGCUAAGCAGAGUCAGGGCUGGUGAGUCCCUGGAUGGGAGACCCCCUGGAGAACCAGGGC